GCUGCCUAAGCUUUUCUCGCCGGAAACAGGGCAGGGCUCUGGACGUGGCCAAGCACAGUCAGAGGGGGACCCGCAGCGUCACGGACGUCCUUUAGUGACGGAGCCUGCAGGAAGUCAGCCUUAAAAGAGAACUGACCCCUCGCUCUGACGGUCCUGGGUGCAGGGAAGGACUACUGAAGCUGUCACUUGAGAGCUGAUCGGCACCUCCAGACAGAACCACUCAGCGCAGGGGAGUGAGGGGCGCACACUUCACGUUAACAGAUAGAACGACCACAACCAUACUAACAAACCAAAAACCUGUGCACAGAAACAAGAUGAAGAAAACAUGUCAAGAUGUUAACCA